CCUACGGGAGGCAGCAGUGGGGAAUAUUGGGCAAUGGAGGAAACUCUGACCCAGCAACGCCGCGUGAAUGAUGAAGGUCUUCGGAUUGUAAAGUUCUUUUCUAAGGGACGAAGAAAGUGACGGUACCUUAGGAAUAAGCCUCGGCUAACUACGUGCCAGAAGCCGCGGUAAUACGUAGGAGGCGAGCGUUAUCCGGAAUGACUGGGCGUAAAGGGUGCGUAGGUGGUUUGGCAAGUUAGUAGCGAAACUCCAAGGCUUAACCUUGGAACUACUACUAAAACUGUUGGACUUGAGUGCAGGAGGGGCAACCGGAAGGCCGAGUGUAGCGGUGGAAUGCGUAGAGAUUAGGAGGAACACCAGUGGCGAAGGCGGGUUGCUAGACUGUAACUGACACUGAGGCACGAAAGCGUGGGGAGCAAACAGGAUUAGAUACCCUUGUAGUC
rnacentral:rRNA from 1 species